rnacentral:rRNA from 1 species
UACCAGCACCCCGAGUGGUCGGGACGUUUUAUUGGGCCUAAAGCAUCCGUAGCCGGUUCUACAAGUCUUCCGUUAAAUCCAACUGCUUAACAGGUGGGCUGCGGAAGAUACUAUAGAGCUAGGAGGCGGGAGAGGCAAGCCGGUACUCGAUGGGUAGGGGUAAAAUCCGUUGAUCCAUUGAAGACCACCAGUGGCGAAGGCGGCUUGCCAGAACGCGCUCGACGGUGAGGGAUGAAAGCUGGGGGAGCAAACCGG